AAAUAAAAUCAGGCAUGUAAAAACUACAGCAAUACAAUGAAAUGAAAUAAAAAAAAAUAAAACCCCCAACAAUAAAUAUAAUUACUAAUAAUAAAACAGAUAUGAUAUAUUGGCAAUAAAACAGAGCACUAGAAUUAAUAAAAGGCAUUUUUGAAAAGAUACGUUUUGAGAAGUGAUUUAAAAGAUGUCACUGAUUCAGCAAGCCUCAGAUCCUCAGGUAGGGAGUUCCAGAGCCUAGGGGCCCUGACUGCAAAAGCCCGGUCACCUUUAGUUUUGUGCCGGGACUCGGGUACAGCCAGCAGAGCCCUGCCUGAGGAUCUGAGGCUGCGCCCUGGCUCAUAGGGGAGCAGCAGUUCAGCAAUGUAGCUGGGAGCUGGACCAUGAAGUGCUUUAAAGGUGAUCAGUAAAAUCUUAAAAUCAAGUCUAAAAUUAACUGGUAAUCAGUGAAGAGAGGGUAAAACAGGUCUGAUAUGGUCAUGUCCUCUAGUGCUUGUCAAAAGCCAAGCAGCUGCGUUUUGUACCAGAUGAAGGCGUGAGAUGUUUUUAGUCUAAUGAGAAGAAAUAAAAGCAUGAAUGACCUUCUCAGGAUCAGGUCAAGAGAGAAAAGACCUGAUCUUUGAGAUGCUCCUUAAUUGAUAAAAACAUGAUCUAACAACAUUUGUAAUUUGUUUUUCAAAUGAAAGUUCACUGUCAAAUAUCACACUUUCUGGCUGCGGGUUUGACAUUGGAAGACGGGGAUCCAAGCUGUUUAUGCACAAUCAGGAUGGACUUUGAGGGGCCAAAGAGAAUUAUUUUAGAUUUAUUUUAAUUUAGCUGGAGAAGGUUUUGGACAUCCAGCACUUAAUUUCUGACAGACAGUAUAGAAGAUGAUUAAAACUGCCUUCAUCACUGAUUUUUAAUGGGACAUACAUUUGUGUGUCAUCUGCAUAACAACGGUACUGGAUUUUAUGUUUAGUUAUGAUCUGUCCCAGUGGUAGCAUGUAUAUACAGAACAUCAAGGGGCCAAGGAUGAACCCUUGGGAAACACCACAGGUCAGAGGGGCCACAGAAGAGGAGGCAUUACCCAUGACCACUGAGAAAGUCCUGUUUGAUAAAUAGGAUUUUAACCAUUUUAGAGCAGUGUCCUUGAUGCCAGCUCACUGUUCAAAGUGGUCCGAUAGGAUGGAGUGAUCAACAGUGUCAAAUGCAGAGCUCAUGUUACAAUCUAUUCAUAAUUUUGUCAUCACGAUUGUCCAUGUAAUUUUAUUAUGUUGCUCUAAUCUGUACACACGACAUUUAUUGCAUGUCUGUCCGUCCUGUUGCUCUUCCUGGGCUUUCUUCCAUUUUUUCAUCCAAAUCGAGGGUCUAAGGACAGAGGGUGUCGUAUGCUGAACAGAUUGUGAAGCCUCCUGAGGUAAAUAUGUGAUUUGAGGGUUAGGGUUAGGACAAUUAGGGUUAGGGUUAUCCAAUUGACUUGACUUGACACACAAUCAGGGCCAAUAGGAAGCUGCAUAGAGGGAAACUGAGUAUGCUACUAUGUGUAUCCCUCCUUUAACUCAUCAUGACAGUGUGAUUACAAAUGUUUUACCACUCUCUUUACCAUCAUCCCAGUUUCUUUAUAGUGUAAACUACUUUGUACAGCGUAAGAUUCUUUGAAACAAGUUUCUAUUAUCAUGAUAAUCUUAAAACUUAUCACAAAUAGUAAAACAUGGAGAGAGGUGCUGCCUGUGUUAUAGUUUGAGGUUUUGUCAUUUCCUGUUUUAUUUUGUAGUGUGUUCCUCUCCUUGCGUGACUUGGGGUUUUACUUUCUGUCUUUGUUUGCCUUCCCUCCAGGUUUGAUUGUUGGCCCCACCUUGAUUGUUUGCACCUGUGUCUCGUUGUCUCACCUCCCUUACGGUAUUUAGUCCAGUUCCUUUCCCGUGUGUGUGCGUGUGUGUCUGUUAGGUGCAUUUUUUGUUGUACCUUGUCCCUGUUCCCAUGCACAGUUCCUGGCAUUUCUUCCCGUGGGUUUGUUGGUAUGGAUUCUUUGUCUCCCUUGGACCGUGUCUGGAUUUUGGACUUUACACUUAGCAUGCUCCCUGUCAGAUUUGUUUAGCCUCUUUGGACUCACUUCCCUGUUUCCACCACUGCCAGCUGGUAACCCAUUACCUAUUACUUGGACCUGUAUCUGGCUACCUGCCUAUUACCUGUUUGUUGUCUGUCUGCCUGUACCUGCCUGUAAGCCACUUCACCCCAAUAAACAUUGUAGCCAUCCGGCUACUUCAUACUCAUACCGCUUCCUGGUCAUCUGCAUUUGGGUCCACAUAGUUGCGAGAGGAAGGGGGCCCACAGAGACUGCUUAUGUAUAGGGCCCAGAAUUUUGUGCUAUAUCACUGAGUGUACACGCAGUUUUCUAGAGACAGCGGUGGGUGAUGUAAUGAGAAGAUUAAAUAUGAGUCAGGUUCCGGUCUCGUUAAUGACUAAGGAUAGGACGCUAGUUCCCCUGAAUCAUUAAACGCCUUGGACUCCCUUUUCCUGAGCAGACUACUACCAGCCUCCAGUACCCAGUACCUCGUCUCCGGCUCCUUCGUGCUCCUGUUCUCCGUGUGUGUCUACAGUCCUCCGUGAGUCUACCAGCCACCGGUACCCAGUGCCUCUUCUCCGGCUCCUUCGUGCUCCUGGUCUCCGUGUGUGGCACUCCAGCUCCAGUCCCCGUGUGUCUCCAGUCCUCCGUGAGUCUACCAGCCACCGGUACCCAGUACCUCUUCUCCGGCUCCUUCGUGCUCCUGGUCUCCGUGCGUCUCCAGUCCUCCGUGAGUUAUCCACUCCAGUUCCUGGUCCCGUGCGUCUCUAGUCUUCCGUGAGUGUCGCUCCAGUCUCCUGACCCGUGUGGACCUAAUACUCAGUGCUCCGCCACCUCCAUUCCAAGGACUGUAUACUUUCUUCCAUUCACUAUCAACGUACCUGUGUAAUAAUAAACUCUAUCAUACCUGCC